CUUUCCUCUGUAAUAGAGAAGAAAGGAACAAAGUUCAACUUCAGCUUUGGUGUUUUCUGAGAUCAGAGUUGAAGGCAGUUUCAGCUUUGGUGGCACAAGGGCUGAUUUCUCUAAGGUCAGCUCUUCCCUCUGAGCACAGCUGACUGGCUUGCUGAACCGUGGUCUUCAUAUAUGUACACUUAUAAUUGCAUUUAUUUAUACAAAUGCAUAAUAUAGAGAAUGCAGUUUCAUCUUCCAGGACCCCGUUCAAGUCUACAGGGCCAGGAUAAGAGCAUCCCAGCGCUCAGAACUGGCUGAGCUGCUCUCCGUGUCUGAAGAAUGGUGACUGUCAGGUGAAGUUCUCAAGGCCUGGAUUUGGAUGGGCAAAGUGCAACAGCUACAGCAGGGACAGAUGCUUUGAUGGAACGGCCCGAUCAGGAAGAUUGAAGAAUGCAGGUGGCUCUCACCUGGAGAAGGCUGUGAUGCUCCUGGGGAACUGGUGCCACCAGAUAAAGCUCAUUCCUGAGCUCAAGCUUGUUGCCUCCUGCUCAGCAACUGAUAAGGGAGCAGCGAUGCUUGCUUGGCCAUGAAAUAACACAGGGGAACUCCAGUAAGACAGCUUUUUCCAGGUGUCAACGAAUGGCAACGGGGGUCAUUUUUUCUGCAUGGAGGGAUUUCAUAUCACACCUUUGCUGCAUCCUCACUACCAUGUCAGACAGCAUUCUGUCAGACUGCCCCUCUGCUGCCAUCCAUCACACGACAAGAAAACAUAGCAGCAUGUUGGUGGAAAGGUUUAACCUCUGCUGCCAUAGCACCAACAUCUGCUGCCAGCUGCCACUGUGGGCCGACAGCUUAAGAUAGGAGGCAUUACUUUUGGAGCAGCCCUGCUGAAGAAUAUGGUUUGUGUACACAGGCUGGAAGGAAAGCAGAGAAACAAAACAAAGAAAACACCAACAAAUUGGAAGAAUGAAGAGUGAGGAGGAAUUGAAGUGUCCACAGAGUUCACAGUGUGGGUGACUGGAAGUGAUGGGGGAAAGGCAGCGAAUGCUGCUUGUGUAACACACAGCACUGGGUCUGAAUGCAGGACUGCUCUGCCUGUGUCCAUGUGCAGCACUUGGUAACAAGUGUUUGUGCUGUGUGCUCUGCUGUGCACCCA